rnacentral:rRNA from 1 species
CCUACGGGAGGCAGCAGUGGGGAAUCUUGCGCAAUGGGCGAAAGCCUGACGCAGCCAUGCCGCGUGAAUGAUGAAGGUCUUAGGAUUGUAAAAUUCUUUCACCGGGGGACGAUAAUGACGGUACCCGGAGAAGAAGCCCCGGCUAACUUCGUGCCAGCAGCCGCGGUAAUACGAAGGGGGCUAGCGUUGCUCGGAAUUACUGGGCGUAAAGGGAGCGUAGGCGGAUAGUUUAGUCAGAGGUGAAAGCCCAGGGCUCAACCUUGGAAUUGCCUUUGAUACUGGCUAUCUUGAGUGUGGGAGAGGUUAGCGGAACUCCGAGUGUAGAGGUGAAAUUCGUAGAUAUUCGGAAGAACACCAGUGGCGAAGGCGGCUAACUGGCCCAUUACUGACGCUGAGGCUCGAAAGCGUGGGGAGCAAACAGGAUUAGAUACCCUGGUAGUCCACGCCGUAAACGAUGAGUGCUAGUUGUCGGCAUGCAUGCAUGUCGGUGACGCAGCUAACGCAUUAAGCACUCCGCCUGGGGAGUACGGUCGCAAGAUUAAAACUCAAAGGAAUUGACGG